UAUUGUAGUGUACAAUGUAGUGGUGAUCACAUGUGACUAGUACUCAGAGGGAUGUGGAUUCAAAUCCCGCUCAGGGCAUAA